GGCAGCAGUGGGGAAUAUUGGACAAUGGGCGAAAGCCUGAUCCAGCCAUCCCGCGUGUGCGAUGAAGGCCUUCGGGUUGUAAAGCACUUUUGGCAGGAAAGAAACGUUCCGGGUUAAUACCCCGGGAAACUGACGGUACCUGCAGAAUAAGCACCGGCUAACUACGUGCCAGCAGCCGCG
rnacentral:rRNA from 1 species